AGGAUCAUUAAAGAGUAAGUGGUUAUUCCCAGCCCGACCUCCAACCCUUUGUUGUUAUAACUACCUCGUUGCUUUGGCGGGACCGCUCGGUCUCGAGCUGCUGGUCUUCGGCCCGGCAAGUGCCCGCCAGAGUCUACUCAAACUCUUGUUUUAACCGGUCGUCUGAGUUAAACUUUUAAUUAAAUUAAAACUUUCAACAACGGAUCUCUUGGUUCUCGCAUCGAUGAAGAACGCAGCGAAAUGCGAUAAGUAAUGUGAAUUGCAGAAUUCAGUGAAUCAUCGAAUCUUUGAACGCACAUUGCGCUCCCUGGUAUUCCGGGGAGCAUGCCUGUUCGAGCGUCAUUACACCACUCAAGCACUGCUUGGUAUUAGGCCAUCGUCCCCCGCAAGGUGGGCGUGCCUCAAACACCUCGGCGGAGCCUCACCGGCUUUGGGCGUAGUAGAAUUUCUCAACGUCUUAUAAGUACCGGUCUGACUCUUUUGCCGCUAAACACCAAACUUUUAAAGGUUGACC
rnacentral:rRNA from 1 species